rnacentral:rRNA from 1 species
UACAGAGGGUGCGAGCGUUGUCCGGAAUCACUGGGCGUAAAGGGCGCGUAGGUGGAUUGUUAAGUCAGGGGUGAAAUCCUGGAGCUCAACUCCAGAACUGCCUUUGAUACUGGCGAUCUCGAGUCCGGGAGAGGUGAGUGGAACUGCGAGUGUAGAGGUGAAAUUCGUAGAUAUUCGCAAGAACACCAGUGGCGAAGGCGGCUCACUGGCCCGGUACUGACGCUGAGGUGCGAAAGCGUGGGGAGCAAACAGG